CUCCAGUCUCAGUGCCACGCAAACAUUUUACUUGUAACCUGGCAAAAGAAAACAAGAACAUGAGUCUCAAACGAGAAGCUCCUUCUUUGUAAGAUGAAUUUCUUGACAACUAUGCUCCUAACAAGAUGAUAGAUGAUCAGUUUCCUUCUGGAAACUAACAGCAGCAGCUCAAUUUCAGAACCAUUAACAGUGCUCAAUCGGAGCAUCCUGCUGCGAAUAUAAAUGUGCUGCAGCAGGUGGAUCAACAAUUAUCUGAGCUGCCUCUGUCCCUACUUCUACCAGAUAAAUCCCCGUUUAAAGUUGCAAUUUGAAUUAAACGUCAACUGAAUACCAGACAUAAGGAUACAAAAAUUGAAACAAGACAUGGGUCGGUCAACAGCUAACAGUAGCAGUUGAUCAAAAUUGGUAGGAAUUGUCAGAUCCAUAUUUGCUUCUCAUAUUGUAACGGUCAAAUUUUGGAUUAUCAUACUCUACAGGCUUCAUCUCAGCAGGUUUUGGCUCUGCCCCAGCUGCUCCAAAAACCACCUCCCCACUCUUAUCUCGUUGGCGAUGCCUUGUUUUCUCUUUGUGGCUCCUGGACCUGCCAGAAGAAGGCACCUCACCUGAUCCAUAGAAUUCUGCAUAUUCUUGUCGUUUUGAGGAACGGUGCUUGCUUGAUAAAGAAGGAUCCUUAAAACUGGCUGACUUGAUCUUUGGUGGCUUAAUUUCUGAAUAAUUAUCACCCGCGCUGGGAGUAUGGACCUGCUGGGUUUCAGAUAAAGAAACAGGAGUACUCUGCCUCUGGACGGAUGGGGGUUCAACCUCAUCUACAGGCAUCCUCAGGGAAUCUUUCAAAGGUGUGAGGCCUUUCUUGGAUCCCCUUGAUCUAAACCAUGAAGGGAUUAAGUAGAGGAACAUGCUAGCCAAUGCCUCAAGUGCGAGCUUGGAAAGAUCAAUAAUAAGCUGUCCAAAAGAGGGCCACUUAGGAUCCUCUUUCAUGCUCUCUGUGAUAGGAGUCGGUUUCUCCAUACUUGGGUACUCCAUAAAUUCACCCUCUGAAUAU
rnacentral:misc_RNA from 1 species